rnacentral:lncRNA from 1 species
GAGAAAAACCAAAACCACAAGGCCACAGUGUGCAAUGAACGCCACCAGACAUCUGCGAGAGGAAAACAGGGACAUUCCGAAUCACUGAAACAAGCCAACCUUGGAAGGGCGGGAGGCCCGGGACGCGGCAAGGCCUCCCAAGAACGCGGGCGAAAGGCGAAGCACAGGCCAUCUGAGUGCACAGACGGACUCAACGCAGCAGAGGAGCCGCAGCAAACACCGUCGGAGCCGCGGAGCGUGGAGGGCAGAUGAGUAA